UACAGACAGUGAGAAUCUAAUGACGACGUCUGUCGAGGUUAACAUCGCCGUUACUGACUUUAAACGCAAGUAGACAAAAGCACAAGAUCUUAAACCAAGCGGUCUACCAAUCACGAUGACUAAACAAACACGGUUGUACCUAGCUGUCGUCUGUUUGCUGCUUUUCAUAACACUGGAAGCGAGACACAUCCACCAUCACCAUCACCGUCUGGCUCAAUCAUGCGUCAAAACCGGCUACCCAUGUGACGUGUCUCCUUGUUGCUUCCAAGAUGACGUGUGUGCUGUUGCUCACGACGUCAAAACAAAAGCUAAACGUGUCUGCAAGCGACGUUCCAUGAAGAUUACACCAAGAAGGUAGAUGGACGGACCUUCUCAGAAUACAAACGGACUAAUGUCACCUGCUACCAAUGAGUAUUGGAUGCUGGAUGUACCCAAUAGUAACAACAACAGGGUGCGUCUGCCUACUGUCCGAUUCUGGGAUGUCAACUAAUAAUAGGAAGUCAUCGCACGAGUAUAAGAUCACUGAUUUCAAGGGUGUCUCUAAAUUUAUUGUAUUUUCAUGCAUUUAAAGAAUUUUUCUGUAUUUCUCAAUUGCUGUGUUUGUUCAAGAAAUUCAACAAUAAAAUAAAUUCCACUAACAGCAAA
rnacentral:misc_RNA from 1 species